UUAAGUUCAGCGGGUAUUCCUACCUGAUCCGAGGUCAACCUUGGUUAAAGAUGGGGUCUUUAACGGCAGGAGCACGCCGCACCUCCCUAGCGAGAUAGGAUUCUACUACGCUCGGAGUUGUAGCGAGCCCGCCACUUCCUUUCAGGGCCUACGGCAGCCGUAGGACCCCAACACCAAGCAGGGCUUGAGGGUUGAAAUGA
rnacentral:misc_RNA from 1 species